rnacentral:rRNA from 1 species
UACAGAGGCCUCGAGCGUUGUUCGGAAUUACUGGGCGUAAAGGGAAUGUAGGUGGUGACGUAAGUCAGAUGUGAAAGCCCUGGGCUUAACCUGGGAAGUGCAUUUGAUACUGCGUUGCUGGAGUGCGAGAGAGGAAAGCGGAAUUCCAGGUGUAGGAGUGAAAUCCGUAGAUAUCUGGAGGAAUACCGAUGGUGAAGACAGCUUUCUGGCUCGUAACUGACACUGAGAUUCGAAAGCAUGGGUAGCAAACAGG